rnacentral:rRNA from 1 species
GUAAGGAAUAUUGGUCAAUGGGCGAAAGCCUGAUCCAGCCAUGCCGCGUGUGUGAAGAAGGUCUUCGGAUUGUAAAGCACUUUAAGUUGGGAGGAAGGGCAGUAAGUUAAUACCUUGCUGUUUUGACGUUACCGACAGAAUAAGCACCGGCUAACUUCGUGCCAGCAGCCGCGGUAAUACGAAGGGUGCAAGCGUUAAUCGGAAUUACUGGGCGUAAAGCGCGCGUAGGUGGUUUUGUAAGUUGGAGUUGAAAUCCCCGGGCGCAAACUGGGAACUGCCUCCAAAACUGCAUGACUAGAGUACGGUAGAGGGUAGUGGAAUUUCCUGUGUAGCGGUGAAAUGCGUAGAUAUAGGAAGGAACACCAGUGGCGAAGGCGACUACCUGGACUGAUACUGACACUGAGGUGCGAAAGCGUGGGGAGCAAACAGGAUUAGAAACCCCAGUAGUCC